rnacentral:rRNA from 1 species
CCUACGGGUGGCAGCAGUGAGGAAUAUUGGUCAAUGGCCGGAAGUCUGAACCAGCCAUGCCGCGUGCAGGAAGACGGCUCUAUGAGUUGUAAACUGCUUUUGUACAAGAGUAAACCUGACUACGUGUAUUCAGCUGCAAGUACUGUACGAAUAAGCAUCGGCUAACUCCGUGCCAGCAGCCGCGGUAAUACGUAGGUGGCGAGCGUUGUCCGGAUUUACUGGGUGUAAAGGGCGUGUAGCUGGGCUUACAAGUCAGAGGUGAAAUCCGGUGGCUCAACCACCGAACUGCAGUUGAAACUGGUGGUCGUGAGUAUCUGUGAGGUAGGCGGAAUGAGUAGUGUAGCGGUGAAAUGCGUAGAUAUUAGGAGGAACACCAGUGGCGAAGGCGGCUUGCUGGGCGACAACUGACGGUGAGGCGCGAAAGCGUGGGGAGCAAACAGGAUUAGAUACCCGAGUAGUC